AUGACUCUGGUGACUUGAUUGAGGCCAGUGGGAACCACUUAGCAGACCAAGUCAUGAAACUACACAUAGCUUUUCUACAGACUCAGGCUACUGAGGCCGACUUGACCUUCUACCAUUCAUCCUUUGCAAAAUUACAGUAACUUCCAAUCCAAGAUCCAAAUUGUCUCCUUUUGAGAAAAGCCUACUCACACAUUGCUUCCAGGUGAUUAUUAGUGCACAGCCUGAACAAGAACAACUGACAAAAACAGCUGCCCUC